AGAAUCAACGCUGGCGGCGUGCCUCAGACAUGCAAGUCGAACGAUUAAAGCUCUCUUCGGAGAGUGUAUAGAGUGGCGCACGGGUGAGUAACACGUAAGUAAUCUACCUUCGAGUGGGGGAAUAACCCGGGGAAACCCGAGCUAAUACCGCAUAAUGCAGCGGCAUCGCAAGAUGACAGUUGUUAAAGGAAUUUAUUUCGCUUGAAGAGGAGCUUGCGGCAGUAUUAGCUUGUUGGUAAGGUAACGGCUUACCAAGGCUACGAUCUGUAUCCGGUCUAAGAGGACGGUCGGACACACUGACACUGAAUAACGGGUCAGACUCCGUACGGGAGGCAGCAGGUCGGAAGUUUGGGCAAGUGGGACGAAGCCGUGACCCAGCGAACCGCCGCGUAGGAACGGAUAG
rnacentral:rRNA from 1 species